rnacentral:sRNA from 1 species
UAUUCUGCCCCAUGGGGAAGGAUGAGAAGCUUCGACCAAGGUUCGACUCGAGCGAAGCGAGAGAACGUUGCCGCAGGCAACGGCCCGAAGGGCGAGGCGCUUUAGCGCCGAGUAAUCCUUCCCCCACCACCA